CAGGACUAACUUCACAUGGGGAAGACAUGGUAUAUUGGCUUCCUGCGGCUGUUCUAGCAAUGACUACAAACAUUAUUUUACAGUUCUGUAGGUUAGAAGUUCAAAGUGGGUCUCACUGUAUGUCAAGGACUGUCUUCUGCUAGAGUCCUCAGGUUAAAUCUUUUUCUGCCUGUUCCAACUUCUAGAAGCUGCCUGCAUUCCUUGACCUGUGGCCCCCAUUACGUCAACUUCUUCCACCCUUACAUCUUGGGCUCUGGCCAUCCCACUUCCUUAUAAAGAUCUUUGUGAUUAGAUACGGUGGUUUACACCUGUAAGUACCCAUGAGUGUGCUUGGAUUUUAGAUAAGGUGGUUCACACCUAUAACCCCAGCAGCUCAAGGGAGCUGAGACAGGAGGAUCUUGAGUUUGAGGUCAGCCUCCCUCAGCAACCUAUCGAGGGUCUAAGUAACUUAGUGAGACCCUGUCUCAAAAUAAAAAUAAAAUGGGCUGAGGAUGUGGCUCAGUGAUUAAACACCCCUGAGUUCAAACCUUGGUAUCCUCCCCCCACCAAAAAAACCCUUCAUGAUUAUUUUAAACCCAUCUGGAUAAUCCAAAAUAAUCUUUGUAUCUCAAGAUUCUUAUCACAUCUGCAAUGUCCCAUUUGCUAUAUGAUACUCAGGUUCUGAAUAUUGGGAUGUGGAUAUCUUUGGGGGCCUUUAUUCUGUCUGCCACAUGUGGCAAGAUAGGUGGUAUCUUAGUCCAUAUGCAGUAGGUAGCCCUUGCCCAUUGAAGUCCAUGAGCAUGUCUCAUCUCACAAACAAAAACUGCUUUGCAAAAAGUACUCUUUGCUUUAUUUGGUUAAUCUUUUUCUCCCAAUUUGAUCCCAGAUGAAAUAAACCAAGGAACUACAGACUUAGUUUAUGUCAAAUGGCACUAUUUACCAGUAGUAUUUGGUUAUCUUUAAUUAAAAUGAAGGAUAGGUAGGAUCUUGUUUUGCUUUUACACAUUUGCACAGGUAGUCAAUGCAUGGAGGAGAGAUAUGUGCGUCUUGAACAAUGAAAUAUAAUGUGCACAUUUCUGGGUUUCAUAUAUCAUGACAUAGAGGAUGAUCUUUGGGGGUUAAAAAAAAAGUUCUCCCAAAUUAUGACUGACAUACUCUGGACCAGUAUUUCUUAUCCAGAGAUGAUUUUGCCCCCAGGAGACAUUUGGCAGUGUCUAGAGACACUUUUGGUUGUCACAACAAGGGGAUGCUACUGGUGUCUAAUGGAUAGAUACCAAGGAUGUGGCUAAAAUCCUGUAAUGCACAGGAAAGCUCCCAUGACAAAAAGUUAUCCGGUCUAAACACCAGUAGUGACGAGGCUAAGAAACCUGGUGAGCACUGUGAAUUAAAGUGGCAAUUUUAAUGACAGGCAGUUGUAAUGGUGGCCCUGCAAAACUAGGUUUUAGGCCCAUUUUAGAGAAGCCAUGGGCCAGGGGACUAGAGAGGGAUUUAAUAGGGAAUUUCAUGAAGUUAAAUAGCUGGGACUGGGGCUAAGUUCUCAGCAUAUCCCAAGUUGAAUGGAGGCUGUGCAUCUGUGUAGGAGAGGCCAGAGCAGGCUGCAGCCUCCCACAUGUCCUUGGAUAGUGAAACUGACACAUGUGGCAAAAGAAAUGAGGACCCAGAAGAAAUUAAAAGCUGGGGCAGACCUGAAAACAGUCCAGUUUUGAAGGUGUCUCCAGCCCCCACACAGGUCCUUCUGCAGAGAAUGGAAGCCUUAAUAGCUAAAGUGUUUGAACACAAUCUUUUACUAAUAAUUGACUGAAAGCUAUAGUUAGCAGAUGAGAAAAAAAAAAAAAUUCUGGGCAGAGAGAUCAGCAACUGCCCAAUGUAGAGGAGACAGGAGUCACAGAAUUAGUUCAGGAAAAAUAUUAAGCAACCAACAUGAUAACAGUCCUGGGGUAAGAGGUCACACAAACUUUCCAGGUCAGAGGCCCCAAAAUAAACCUCAAUAAAUUAGAGAGGACUGGAUUCAUACAAAGUAUGCCCUCUGACCACAUAGAAAUACCUACCAGGAAGAAAUCUCCAAAUAUUUGGAAAUUAAGUAAUAUGCUUUGAAGCCCAUGGAUCAAAAAAUACAUCACAAUAGAUAUGUAGAAAGUUUGAACUCAAUGAAAAGAAAAAUGUAUUAGGUGCAAUGUUUACAGGGAAAUGUAUAGUUGUAUUUAUUUUUGCCAUUCUGAGAAGUGAACCCAGAGGCAGUUGACCACUUGAGCUACCUCCCCAGCCCUUUUUUAUAUUUUAUUUUGAGACAGGGCUGAACUGAUGUCAAAUUUGUGAUCCUUUGGUCUCAGCCUCUUGAGUUACUGGGAUUACAAUGGUAUGCCACUGUACCCAAUAGGAAAUGUGUAGUUUUAAAUGCCUAUGUCAGAAAAGAAGAAAGAUCUCAAUCAAUAACCUAAUUCUCCAACCCAAGAAUCUAAUCUAUACCCAAACAACAGUGAAAACCAAUGAAACCAAACCAAAAGUUAGUUCUUUUUUUUUUAAUUUGGUUGUUCAAAACAUUACAAAGCUCAUGACAUAUCAUCUUUCAUACAUUUGAUUCAAGUGAGUUAUGAACUCCCAUUUUUACCCCAAAUACAAAUUGCAGAAUCACAUCAGUUACACAUUCACAUUUUUGCAUAAUGCCAUAUUUGUGACUGUUGUAUUCUGCUGCCUUUCCUAUCCCCUACUAUCCCCCCUCCCCUCCCCUCCCAUCUUCCCUCUCUACCUCAUCUGUUGUUGUUCAGUUCUCUCCCUUGUUUUUUUUUUAUUCCCCCCCCUUUCCCCUCACAACCUCUUAUAUGUGAUUUCGUAUAACAUCGAGGGUUUCCUUCCGUUUCCAUGCAAUUUCCCUUCUCUCUCCCUUUCCCUCCCACCACUUGUCUCUGUUUAAUGUUAAUCUUUUCCUCAUGCUCUUCCUCCCUGCUCAGUUCUUAGUUGCUCUUCUUAAAUCAAAGAAGACAUUUGGCAUUUGUUUUUUAAGGAUUGGCUAGCUUCACUUAGCAUAAUCUGCUCUAAUGCCAUCCAUUUCCCUGCAAAUUCCAUGAUUUUGUCAUUUUUUAGUGCUGCGUAAUACUCCAUUGUGUAUAAAUGCCACAUUUUUGAUAUACAUUCAUCUAUUGAAGGGCAUCUAAGUUGGUUCCACAGUCUAGCUAUUGUGAAUUGUGCUGCUAUGAUCAUUGAUGUGACAGUAUCCCUAUCGUACGCUCUUUUAAGGUCUUCAGGGAAUAGUCCGAGAAGGACGAUAGCUGGGUCAAAUGGUGGUUCCAUUCCCAGCUUUCCCAGGAAUCUCCAUACUGCUUUCCAUAUUGGCUGCACCAAUUUGCAGUCCCACUAGCAAUGUAUAAGUGUGCCCUUUUCCCCACAUCUUCGCCAGCACUUAUUGUUGUUUGACUUCAUAAUGCCUGCCAAUCUUACUGGAGUGAGAUGGUAUCUUAGGGUGGUUUUGAUUUGCAUUUCUCUGACUGCUAGAGAUGGUGAGCAUUUUUUCAUGUACUUAUUGAUUGAUUGUAUGUCCUCCUUUGAGAAGUGUCUGUUCAGGUCCUUGGCCCAUUUGUUGAUUGCGUUAUUUGUUAUUGUUUAAUUUUUUGAGUUCUUUGUAUAUUCUGGAAAUUAGGGCUCUAUCUGAAGUGUGAGGAGUAAAGAUUUGUUCCCAGGAUGUAGGCUCCCUAUUUACUUCUCUUAUUGUUUCUCUUGCUGAGAAAAAACUUUUUAGUUUAAAUAAGUCCCAUUUGUUUAUUCUUGUUAUUAACUCUUGGGCUAUGGGCGUCCUAUUAAGGAAUUUGGAGCCCGACCCCACAAUAUGUAGAUCGGAGCCAACUUUUUCUUCUAUCAGGUGCAGAGUCUCUGAUUUGAUAUCAAGCUCUUUGAUCCAUUUUGAGUUAACUUUUGUGCAUGGCGAGAGAAAGGGGUUCAGCUUCAUUUUGUUGCAUAUGGAUUUCCAGUUUUCCCAGCACCAUUUGUUGAAGAUGCUAUCCUUCCUCCAUUGCAUGCAUUUAGCCCCUUUAUCAAAUAUAAGAAAGUUGUAAUUUUGUGGAUUGGUCUCUGUGUCCUCUAUUCUGUACCAUUGGUCCACCUGCCUGUUUUGGUACCAGUACCAUGCUGUUUUUGUUACUAUUGCUCUGUAGUACAGUUUGAAAUCUAGUAUCGCUAUACCUCCAGAUUCACACUUCCUGCUUAGAAUUGCUUUUGCUAUUCUGGGUCUUUUCUUUUUCCAUAUGAAUUUCAUGAUUGCUUUCUCUAUUUCUACAAGAAAUGCUGUUGGGAUUUUGAUUGGCAUCGCAUUAAACCUGUAGAGAACUUUGGGUAAUAUCGCCAUUUUGAUGAUGUUAGUUCUGCCUAUCCAUGAACAGGGUACAUUUUUCCAUCUUCUAAGAUCUUCUUCUAUCUCUCUCUUUAGGGUUCUGUAGUUUUCAUUGUAUAAAUCUUUCACCUCUUUUGUUAGGUUGAUUCCCAAGUAUUUUUUUUUUUUUUGAGGAUAUUGUGAAUGGAGUGGUUUUCCUCAUUUCCAUUUCAGAAGUUUUGUUGCUGAUAUACAGGAAUGCCUUUGAUUUAUGCGUGUUGAUUUUAUAUCCUGCCACUUUGCUGAAUUCAUUUAUUAACUCUAGCAGUUUCUUUGUAGACCCUUUUGGGUCUGUUAGAUAUAUUAUCAUAUCAUCCGCAAAUAGUGAUAAUUUAAGUUCUUCUUUUCCUAUUUUUAUGCCUUUAAUUUCUUUUGUCUGUCUAAUUGCUCUGGCUAGUAUUUCAAGAACUAAAUUGAAUAGAAGUGGUGAGAGAGGGCAUCCCUGUCUUGUUCCAGAUUUUAGAGGGAAUGCCUUCAGUUUUUCUCCAUUUAGAAUGAUGCUAGCCUGAGGCUUAGCAUACAUAGCUUUUACAAUGUUGAGGUAAGUUCCUGUUAUCCCUAGUUUUUCUAGUGUUUUGAACAUAAAGGGAUGCUGUACUUUGUCGAAUGCUUUUUCUGCAUCUAUCGAGAUGAUCAUAAUGAUUCUUAUCUUUAAGUCUAUUGAUGUGGUGAAUAACAUUUAUUGAUUUCCGUAUAUUGAACCAGCCUUGCAUCCCAGGGAUGAAUCCUACUUGAUCAUGGUGCACAAUUUUUUUGAUAUGCUUUUGUAUUCGAUUCGCCAGGAUUUUAUUGAGAAUUUUUGCAUCCAAGUUCAUUAGAGAUAUUGGUCUGUAGUUUUCUUUCUUUGAAGUGUCUUUGUCUGGUUUCGGGAUCAGGGUGAUGUUGGCCUCAUAGAAUGAAUUUGGAAGAGCUCCUUCUUUUUCUAUUUCUUGAAAUAGCUUGAAAAGUAUUGGUAUUAAUUCUUCUUUGAAGGUUUUGUAAAACUCUGCUGUAUACCCAUCCUGUCCAGGGCUUUUCUUGGUUGGUAGUCUUUUGAUGGCUUCUUCUAUUUCUUCCUUUGUUAUUGGUCUGUUUAAAUUAUGUGUGUCUUCCUGACUCAAUCUGGGCAGAUCAUAUGACUUAAGAAAUUUAUCGAUAUCUUCAUUAUCUUCUAUUUUAUUGGAAUAUAGGGUUUCAAAAUACUUUCUAAUUAUCUUCUGUAUUUCUGUAGUGUCUGUUGUGAUAUUGCCUUUUUUCAUCCUGUAUGUUAGUAAUUUGAGUUCUUUCUCUUCUUCUCUUCGUUAGCAUGGCUAAGGGUCUGUGGAUCUUAUUUAUUUUUUCAAAGAACCAACUUUUAGUUUUAUCAAUUUUUUCAAUGUUUUUUUUUUUUUGUUUCAAUUUCGUUGAUUUCCGCUCUGAUUUUAAUUAUUUCUUGUCUUCUACUACAUUUGCUGUUGUUUUGCUCUUCCUUUUUUAGGGUUUUAAGAUGUAGUGUGAGUUCAUUUAUUUGUUGGUUUUUUCUUUUUUGGGGGGAUGAAGUCCAGGAAAUGAAUUUCCCUCUUAAAACUGCUUUCAUUGUGUCCCGUAGAUUCCGGUAUGUUGUGUCUGUAUUGUCGUUUAUCUCUAAGAAUUUUAUUAUUUCCUCCUUUAUGUCUUCUGUAACCCAUUGAUCAUUCAGUAACAUAUUGUUCAUUUUCCAGGUGAUGCAGGAUUUUUCCUUCCUUCUUUUAUCAUUGAUUUCCAGAUUCAUUCCAUUAUGAUCAGAUAUGGUGCAUGGUAUUAUGUCCACACCUUUAUAUUUACUGAUAGUUGCCCUAUGGCAACUAAUUGGUCUAUCUUUGAGUAGGAUCCAUGUGCUGCUGAGAAGAACGUGUAUCCACUUGAUGAUGUUUGAUACAUUCUAUAUAUGUCGGUUAAGUCUAGGUUAUUGAUUGCGUUAUUGAGUUCUAUAGUUUCUUUAUUCAGCUUUAGUCUAGAGGAUCUGUCUAAUGGCGAGAGUGGUGUGUUGAAGUAACCCAUAAUUAUUGUGUUGUGGUCUAUUUGACUCUUGAACUUGAGGAGAGUUUGUUUUAUGAACACUGCAGCACCAUUGUUUGGUGUAUACAAAUUGUCUUGUUGGUGGAUGGUUCCUUUUAACAGUAUAUAGUGUCCUUCUUUAUCCCUUUUGAUUAACUUAGGUUUGAAGUUGAUUUUAUUCAAUAUGAGUAUGGCCACUCCUGCUUGCUUCCGAGGGCCAUGUGAGUGGUAUGAUUUUUCCCAACCUUUCACCUUCAGCCUGUGUAUGUCUUUUCCUAUCAUAUGAGUCUCCUGAAGGCAGCAUAUUGUUGGAUUUGUUUUUUUAAUCCAGGUUACUAGCCUAUGUCUCUUGAUUGGUGAGUUUAAGCCAUUAACAUUUAAGGUUACAAUUGAAAUAUGGUUUAUACUUCCAGUCAUGUUUAUUUAUUUAUUUAUUUUAGUUUGGCUAGUUUUUCCUCUUUGGUUAUUUUUCUCCCUGUUUACUGAGAUACCUCCCACUGUUAGUUUUGGGCGCUAUUUUUCAAUUCCUCUUCUUGUAGUAUUUUGCUCAAAAUGCUUUGCAGUGCUGGUUUUCUGGCUGCGAAUUCUUUUAGCUUUUGUUUAUCGUGAAAGAUUUUAACUUCAUUGUCAAAUCUGAAGCUUAAUUUUGCUGGAUACAGUAUUCUUGGUUGGAAUCCAUUAUUUUUCCGCGUUUGAAAUACAUUGUUCCAGGAUCUUCUUGCUUUCAAAGUCUGUGAUGAUAAAUCAGUCGUUAACCUAAUUGGUUUACCCCUGAAUGUAAUCUGCCUCCUUUCUCUCGUAGCUUUUAAUAUUCUCUCCUUGUUCUGUAUGUUGGCUAUCUUCAUAAUUAUAUGUCUUGGAAUUGGUCUAUUACGGUUUUGAAUGUUUGGGGUCCUGUAGGCUUCCAUGAUUUGGCAAUCCAUUCCAUCGUUCAUCUCUGGGAAGUUUUCUAGGAUUAUUUCAUUUAAUAGGUUGUCCAUUCCUUUGGUUUAAACCUCUAUACCUUUUUCUAUCCCAGUGACUCUCAAGUUUGGUUUUUUUAUGAUAUCCCAUAACUCUUGGAUAGAUUGCUCGUGAGAUUUAAGCAUCCUUUCUGUGUUGACUAUAUUCUUUUCAAGUUGAUAAACUUUGUCUUCAUUAUCUGAUGUUCUGAUUCCUACUUGACCUAGUCUAUUUGUAAUAUUCUCGUUAGAGUUUUUAAUUUGGUUUAUGGUUUCCUGCAUUUCUAGGAUUACUGUCUGGUUUUUUUUUUUUUUUUGAAAUCUCUAUCUCCUGGUAAAGCUCGUUCUUUGCAGUUUGAAUUUGUUUGUUUAAUUCGUUUUCAAAAUAUACUUUCAUUGCUUGGACUUGCUGUCUCAUGUCUUCUCUAAUAUUCCGUUCCAUCUGAGUUAUGUAUGCCUUGAGUUCUUUCCUUGUCCAUGUUUCUGAUGCUUUUAGUUCCUCCUGUAGAUUUAAGUUGUCCUGCAUUGUUUGUAAUCCUUUUUUCCUUUGUUUUUUCAUGUUGUUCACGUUACUUUCCAGCUCUGUUUGACUGCUGUGUAACUGCUUUCUCCUAUUAAUUUGUUUUGGUUUUGUAUAUCUCUGUUGUCUCUCCUUUGUGGUGGGAAAUUAUGCCUAGAAAUGUUGGGCUUUAUUGUACUUUAAAGCUGAUUCAUUCAAUUCAUAAAAGGCUUCCAGGUUCUGUAUGCAUAUAGUGAUUUGUUGUUUGUUCUUAGGACUUUAUGUUUAGGUUAGGUGCUAUGAUGGUAUGAAGGUUAGUAUGUCUUGGCUACUUUAGAAGAUUGCUCUACUGAAGGUGGAUACUAACAGGCAAUUGGGUCAGGGUGUUGGUAGUAGCUAGGUAUUUAGGAGCCCUAUAGACAGCCUCGAAACAUUCACCUAUUUGCAUUUAGACAAUUACACGUAAUGGAAGACGUAAUGCUUGGGAUGAAAGUUGGGGGGUAGGGGAAUGAAGGUGCUCUUAAAAAGAAAGAAGGAGAGAGAGAUAGAGGAGAAUGAAAAGAACAAUAAAACUUGAAACGGGAAAGAAAGAAAGAAGGAAAAGGGGAGAAAGGAACAGAGAGAGAAGAGGAAAAAAAAAUUGAAGUCUUAGAGAUCCAUUUUCUUCUCUUCCAGUAGGCGGAGCUGUGCCCUCCGAGCGGAGCUUCUGCCCUCUGCGUGCUGAUAGCAAUCCCUGUAAGGCGGCUCCUGGAAGACUCUCAGUCUUGUCAGUCCAGAGCCGUUUCACUUCUCCGGCCCUUCCCCCCCCCUUCCUCCUGUCAGCCAGCCAGCCAGGUCCUGUUCACCAGAAGCGGUUCCCCAGAGAUCUAGUUACACUUGCAGCCCCACCGCGCGUCCCAUUUAAGCCCCAGUGCUGUGGUAAACUGGCGGCUAAGACCUUGGUAAUCUCCGCUGGUGAUAUGGGAGGUUGGGGGUCGGGAAUCCCCUCUGCUUCCCUACAGACACGCCCCCGGAGAGAUCCCUGAGGUUUCCUGGCUGCUUGUAUCUGGCUGGGGUGGGAGUCACACACCUGCUAAAGUGGAUUCCGCUGGGAAUGAAUUCCGUCAGCCGAACUUCGAUGACGUCACCUCUCUGCUAUGGCGGGCCCCAGGCUCCUUGCCGGAGUGUCCGAAGGGAGGGGUGGGACUGGUCCGUCCCCUGUUGGCCUGAGCUCCCGGCUCGCUAUUUCAUGAAGGUUUGGCUAAAGACCUCUUCCUGCCAAGCUGCGUCUCGGAGUCUAGCCACCCAGUCACGGUGGCUGCGGGCUGGCGGGCGGGCAGGCGCACCACGGCGCGCGGACAGCGGCUGGCGGAUCUGGACCUCUGCGUCUUGUGGCAGGGAUUCACUCGUCUGGGCAAACUGUUAUUUCCAAAAAUCCUAGUAACUCACGGCCGGUCUCUCUUCAGUGGAAUUUUGCUAGGAGAUUCUCCGCAAGUAGAAUCUAAGCGUUAUCUAUGCGUCUUUCAGACCCCAUCACUGAGGGGGUAUUGAAAGCGCUGCCUCUCCGCCCGCCGCCAUGUUGGAUCCUUCCAAAAGUUAGUUCUUUUGGUUUGGUUUCAUUGAUAUAUAUAUAUAUAUAUAUGAUGAUCGACGGACUCAAUACCUUUUAUUUCUCUUUUUUUAAUGUGGUUCUGAGGAUCGAACCCAGUGCCUCACAUAUGCUAGGCAAGUACUCUACCACUGAGUUAUAACCCCAGCCUCCAAAAGUUAGUUUUUUGAUAAGAUCCAUAAAAUUGAAAAACAGCGAGGAUUUGACCUUAGUAACAUAAGACCAAGAAAACAAAAAGUAGGACACAAAUUACCAAAAUUAAGAAUGAAAGAGAGGAUGUCACUACUGAUCCUAAAGAAAAGCAUUGGAAUAUUAGGAGCAACUUUAUGCCGAAGAAGUUGUCAAUUUGGUUUAAAUGAAUAUGUUCUUAGAAAGACAUUAUUAAACUAAUUCAAAUAGAGAAACAAAAUCCAAAUAGAUUUACAAUAAAUAAGUAGAUUGAAUUACUAAAUUAACCAGGAAAAUGCCAACUGGAAGAGGCAAAAGCAACAGUGUUGACGGAUCCCAAUCAGUGGAGGAGCCAUCAGUAAAGGGAUCACCCUGGUCCUGCUGCACCCAGGAACCUUUGGUCACAGGGUCCAAUUGUCUUGCAUGAGACUCAUUCAUUUGGGUUAGAUACCUAUUUGCAGGACAGGCACUAUAUAGGCUAUGUUUUCCUGCACGGGUGGGAAUUCCUGGACUAGCAGCAGCACCUGGUAACCUGUUAAAAAUGCAGAGUCUCAGACCUCACCUUUAACCUACUGAUUUAGACUCUGCCAGGUGAAGCCCAGCUAUCUGUGACCCCAGUCCUCCAGGGGAUUUAGGUUAAAGCUCCAGAACCACUGCUUCCCACAGAGGAGCUGGUUGGAAUGUGCCUGUCUCUGAAAGCAGAGCCUUUGAUGUAGGAGGACAUGAAGUAGCUCAUUGUGGGAUUGGGGCAAUCAGGCCUCAAUCUUGUGGGGAUGCUGGAAGGUCCCAGGCUUACAGAAUGAACCUGGACAGUGGAAGCUGAGUGCCAGGGAGGAAGGACCAUUAAUGAGCCAUGCUUUUUAUCUAAGCCAGUCUCCAGGAGAAUCCCAGAAGCCAGGGAGGAGUUAGUGAAAAGGGAACAAAGUGGGCAGGAAAGAUGUUUGCUGUGCAGGGAGUGGCAGCUCUGGGUCAAAUGGCUAGUGCAGCUGGUUUGGAAGGUCUAACUGCCAGCUCCCAGGGAUAGCCCUGACUCCCACAUGUUGGGCCAUUCCCUGACCCAGGCCCUUAAUUCAGCAGAUUCCAGCAUUCCAGGGUUCACCAAGAGAGGACUUCUGUGUAGAUUAUGUCCCAGAAAGCUAGACCGCUUUGCUUGUGCAGCAUCUGUAGCUCCCAGAGUGGAUACAGACCAUGAUGCUGAGCCCCAUGGGAAUCUGAGAUCCCAUGUAAAGAGGUGUUAUGAAGCUACCCUCCAGCCUCUGGGAAGGGGUGGAUUCCUGAACCAGGAAGAGGCCAGAGGUGGAGUGCAGGGCAGCCUUCCAGCCUGGGCCCAGACAGAGGAGACCAGGAGUCAAGAUGGACGUGAGGAGAUGGCAUUCAUGGUUGCUGACAACGAGCAAAUGAUAUCUGGGACUGGGAGAAGGGUUGAGACUAUCCCACAUAAGCCACCCAUUCCAUCUGGGACAUCAAGGCAGGCUAACCUUGCAACUGAAAUCAGUGUGAUACGAAAAUCAAAUGAGUAACUGGAUUUUAAAGAAGUGACUGUGGGGCCUGGGUUUGUGACUCAGCGAUAGAGCGCUUGCCUAGCAUGUGUGUCACCGGAUUUGAGCCUCAGCACCACAUAAAGUUACAAAAAAAGAACAAUCAUUAAAAUGAAAAAAAAAAAAAAAGUGAAUUUGGCCUUAAGUAGACCAAAAAAGCUCCUGGUAAGGAAAAAAAUUUUUCAAUGGAACCAUUUGUGAAAAAAGAAUCACCUGAGCUGGGGUUAUGGCUCAGUGAUGGAGCACUUGCCUCGCAUGUGUGAGGCCCUGGGUUUGGUCUUCAGCACCACAUAAAAAUGAUAAAAUAAAGGCAUUGUGUCUAUCUACAACUAAAAAAUGAUUUUUUAAAAAAGGAUCACCUUAUAAAUUAUUUUCAUUAUCAUUAUUAUUUGCAGUGCUGGGCAUGGAACUCAGGGCCUUUUGCAUACUAGGCAAGCACUCUACAUAUAUAUCCCCAGCCCUAUAAAUUGAUAGUCUAAGUAUAGAUUUUUCUGAAUACUUUGUUUAAAGGGUUUACAGACACAGAUGGCUUUCAGAAGGCCGGCAGAUGCCUAUAUAAGUGACAUGGGCCACACCUAAGGCAGAAGAUAAUCCAGCUCUUGCAACUGUGGUGGAGAGUCUUUUGCCCUUUAGGGGUGCUAUCACUCAGCUUAGACCAACUGUAAUGCAUAGGAGCCUGAUACCUGACAAGGCAAGCACCAGAGGUGACCCAACUAGAAGCCCAUAACACUAGUUUUGGUCCCAACCCUGCUUUCAAUACCUAAGGUAUGAAUGACAUGUUCCAUCUUUCAAGACAAUACAGAAAUUCAGAUUAUAAUGUAAAAUCUCUCCGUUUUUAAGUAAUGCUUUAAUUCUGACAUCUGUGAAUGGAUAUCUCUCUCAGUGGACUGACUGUCGGCCUCUGUGUGUGAUCCUUGCUAUCAGUCAAGCAGGGACUGGGUCUGGUGGGCCUGGGUCCCUUGGGUGACAGAAAUAGGUUUUGGGAUGACAGCUUGCACCCUCCUGUGGCACAUUUAGGCAGUCAGGUGGAGGAUGAGGGCAGGCAUGCCAUUAGGGGAUUCAUAGGUAAUGUGGCCACCUUGCAGGCCUGGAUGGAGAGAUCCAUCAGGCAGAACAAGCCUGGGCCUAAGAUAACACGAGACAGCACCCUGCCCACCAACGCCCCAGACACCAGGAGAUGCCCAGAUGCUGGAUUGAUAGUGCUCCUCUGCUUAGGAACAAACAUGGCUUUGAAGGGCAGAUUUGCAACAAUAACAAGAAAAGGAUGUUUUUGUUUGGCCUGCCAGGAAAACGCUACCCAGUUCUGGAACUCCCCACAGGCUACAACCUGCAUGGUUUGUCUUUUCAGAUAAACUCCUCUGUGCAUGUGGCAUGGCCAGGGAGGAAAGGAGAAUAAGCCAAGAGUCAAGACAACCUGAGUUCUGGUCUUGUGCCUGCCUUGAGUUUUCUUUUUUUCUUUUUUCUUUUUAUAUUUAUUUUUUAGUUUUUUAGGCAGACACAAUAUCUUUAUUUUACACAUAUGUGGUGCUGAGGUUCGAACCCAGGGCCUCAUGCAUACUAGGUGAGCACUCUACCACUGAGCCAUAAUCCCAGCCCUCUGCCAUGGAUUUUCUGUGGACGUCUGAACUACUUCUCUCAUUCUUGGGGCUUGGUUUGCUCAUCUGUAAAUGGGGGACAGAGGUUGGAAUAGAUAGUGUCUCUAGGCCAUUCCAGCCUUUGCCUUCUGACCUCAGGCUGACUCCACACAUGGAAGGCACUAGACAAAGGCCCCAAACCUGUCAAGCCUUGAGUACCAUGCACACGCCCUAAGGGUUUGUUCAGUCUCUCACUUCUCCAAUGACUUGGUCACUUCCCAGUGCCCACUCAAUGCCAGGCCCAUUCUGGGAUUCAGCAGGAAGGCCAAGGUCUUCAUCCUGGGUGUUUACAGCCUAAUGGGGAGAUGGACCAGCAAGGACAGAUACAUCUCCAGCUAAGGUCCCCUGCUGGGCCCUGGGUUGGUGAACUACUUAUCCUGGGAAGGGGGCUUCUGAGCUUGGUGAGCUGCCGUCAAACUGUUACCCACCCUGUAUUCUUUCACAUACCCAUGAGGAAGCUCCAAUCUCAUAGGCCCACCACUUAAUGAACAUCAUGAGCAUGCUGGGAAUGGCCAGGGAGCAGAAGGGGAACCAGUCCUGUAGGCACUGGCUGCAUCAGCGAAGAAACAGAGGCACCAGAGCUGACAGUUGUUUUUCUCGCUUGCCCUGAUAUCUGCUGUGAUAUCCCCGUGCUUCCCAUUUCUGCAUUCACAGGCCCAGGCAUGAAACAUCUUACACAAGAGGUGUAGGUUUUGUUAGGGCUAGUGUUGGGGUGAGCAGAGGAGGAGGCAGGGUAAGGUAUCAGGCUCACUGGCUGGCACCAGAGGUGACCCAACUGGAAGCCCAGAGCACUAGUUUUGGUCCCCACCCUUCUCUCAACACCUUGGGAUCUUGGUCAACUAACUACCUGCCCUUUGAGGCUGUUCCCUCAUCUGAAAACUGCAGGAAGUAAGGACCCAGCAGAAGUCAUAAAGUAGAAUGGGCUGCCCACACUUAGGACCCGGGCACUGCCUUUCUGAGGCCCCAGUGUUCCUGAAAUGCCUAGCAGAGGGUGCCCUCCUCAUGGCAGAGUUGGCUCUCUGGAGGCAGAAAAAUACAGGCUGGUUGGGGAUGCAAGGCCAGGACUGGUGUAUGGGGCAAAUUGCCUGACUUCUGUGUCUCAAUCUCCUUUAUAUAAAAUGAGAAUCAGGUGCUAUAGGGGAUAUUCUCAGGAGAUCAGGAAUGAAGUUGGAGAAGUAAAGGGAAAGGAGGGGAUCCCGAAGGGACAUGAGACCAGCAUAAGACAGGGCCUUCACCUCCUCCAACAAGGCUCCCUAGACCAUCUGCCUGUUGAACAUCCCUGUUCUAUAGCAGAAACAGUAUCCUGAGGACCCUCUCGGCCUCCUAGAGCUGGGGUGGCCCUACUUACCUGCCCAUGUCUUCUGGUGUGGAUUCUUGAGAACAGUGUAGAGAAAAAAAGAUGGCCUAUGUGAAAUGGGAUGUGGUGUUGGUGUAAACAGAGGCCCUGGGAAGUAGGGGAACAGGACUGGGGCCAUGUAGACUUGGCCUCUUGCCCUGCUGGGGCUCUUGUUGUAGGGGAUAAGUGGCUUUCUGCUGAGCCAGCAGAAGGUGGGAGGGAAUGCAGGCAUGGCUUCUCAGUACCCUGUCCUGGAAUCAGCCUCCCCAAGCCAUAGGGCCCUCUGCCACUGUUUCUUCACCUAGGCAGCCAUGACUUCAGUAUCCCGAGACUGCCCUCCUGGGCCUUCCACUUGACAACCUUUCAUGGUGGGCUAGGGCAGGGGAGGAGAGUGAUUUUCCUCCUACCACAUUGGGCCCUGAACUGAGGUGCCAUGGGUCAUUCUCAGAACCUGAGGGACUAGCAGACCUCCCGAAUUCCCCAUGACCCCCUACUUCUAGAGAUGGCAUAGGGAGACUUGGAUGGUGACUGACCUGCCCUGACCAGGGUGGAGAGCUGCCCCCUGGCCAGGUCCCUUCAGCACACUAACACACAGGUUCAGCAUAGAAACCAUGGCAUAGUUGGCCAUGCCAUUGACGGUUAUUACACCACUGAGGACUUGCACUCAGAGGAUCCCCUGACAUAAAUGAAAACUGGCCUUGCUAAGGUGUAAGGUGGGUCUGAAGGAGUGUGUAAAAUAUCAGGCCUCAUUUGGGGAUUGGAAGAGACCGGGACAAAUAGCUUCCCCCUGGCCCUGUCCCAGAGACCAGGACAUGGCAGGGCAGGGCAGGUUGGAAAUCAUCCCUUGAAGUGGCUGGUUCAUAGAUGGCAGAGAGGGAGGAAAACACCCCUUGGCACCAGCUCUGCUGGAAAAGGGCAUUGUGCUGGAGGAGGAGGCUGUCUCUGUAGCCAAGGACAUGUAUCUGAUCGUGCAAACGUUUGCCUGCAGACUGGUGAAGAAAAGCCACUUAUAUAAAAUAAAAUAAAAAUUUUUUUCUUUAAAUAAAUUAUAACACCCCAAAAUACCAAACAUUCAUAGACAUUCCUUCCUAGGACAUAGGUACCUAAGUUUGGACAAUUACUUCACUAAAGUAUAUUCAGGACCCACUCUUGGAGGGCUGAGGCCCAUGUGGCCACAUGGGCCUGUGCUGGCCCUGCCUAUGAGGGCGUUCAGGGCAUCCACUUGGUUACAAAGGAGGUAAGAUUGUUCUCUGAGAGAGAGCAUUCUCUGGCACCUCUGUGUACAGGCAAGGCAUCUAGCAGCCAACCCUGGUUCCUCUCAGCUUAGGAAAGUGACCCAGAGCCAGUUCUCAGAAAUACUCACCAGAGUCCAAAUCUAAAGAUCAUGCCUACUCCAGGGUCUGAUUCUGGUUUCCAGAAACAGCUUCAGAGGGAGUAGCCUUAGACUAAGGGCAUAACAGGAACUGAGCAGUGCUGGCCAAGGGCAGCCUCUGCCAAGCAGAUUCAAGACCCUAUGGAGGUAGCAAGUCCUUUGCUGGGGAGGACAGAAGGCAGGCAUAUAUGUCAACACGUGGUACAUCCAUAGAAGCCUGUCCAGGGCCUCACCUUCCUGUCACCUUUCUUUCCCUAGCUUUUUCUUCUUUUCAAUAUAGUAUGGGGUUAAGAGUACAGAGCUGGGACUAGACUGCCUGGCUUCAAAUCCUGGCUUUGCCUCUUACGAACUGUGUGGGCAAAUUAUUUAACAUUUCUGAGCUUUGGUUUCCUCAUAUGUAAUUACAGUAUUAUCCUGUAAAUGUGUAUAUCUAGUGUAAAUAUCUAUCUAUCUAGAUAUCACAAUGUGCUUACAAAACAGUAUGGUAAAUUCUAAGUGUUAGGCAAAAAUUGUGUAAAUGUUGUUAGUCAUUAUUAUUAUUGGCAGUUAAAUUAUAUAGCAUCAUUUUAUGGAAGGGCCUUGUUUUGUUCAAUAAGAGAGAUGCUAACCGAGAUACGGUUAUAGAAUGUUUCCUUCUGACCUGGCCCCCUGGUCCUAUUUGACAAGGUGUUCUCACCAUGGCCUGAAGAGCCCAAAUAUGGUUUAUAGGGAUGACUCAGAGAAGAAAGAGCAGCCCUUUCCAGUGGGUUGUGUGAUACAGAAAAACCAUAGAUGCAAAAAUUCUCUAUAAAAGUCUGGCAAAUCGAAUACAAAAACAUAUCAAAAAGAUAGUGCACCAUGAUCAUGUGGGGUUUAUCCCAGGCAUGCAAGGCUGGUUCAACAUAUGGAAAUUAAUAAAUGUGAUUCAUCACAUCCAAUAGGCUUUAAGAUAAGAAUCAUAUGAUCAUCUCAAUAGAUGUAGAAAAAGCAUUUGACAAAAUACAGCACACCUUCAUGUUCAAAACACUAGAAAAACUAGGGAUAACAGGAACAUAUCUCAACAUCAUAAAGGCUAUCUAUGCUAAGCCCCAGGCCAACAUCAUUCUAAAUGGAGAAAAAUUGAAGGCAUUCUCUAAAAACUGGAACAAGACAGAGAUACCCUCUUUCACCACAUCUAUUUAACACAGUUCUUGAAAUACUGGACAGAGCAAUUAGACAAGACGAAAGAAAUUAAAGGGAUAUGCAUAGGAAAAGAACUCAAAUUAGCACUAUUUGCUGACGAUAUGAUUCUAUACCUAGAAGACCCAAAAAGUUCCACCAGAAAACUUCUAGAACUAGUAAAUGAAUUCAGCAAAGUAGCAGGAUAUAAAAUCAACACCCAUAAAUCAAAGGCAUUUAUGUAUAUCAGUGACAAAUCCUCAGAAAGCAAAAUGAGGAAAACUACCCCAUUUAAAAUAUAGCCUCAAAAAAAGUUGGGAAUCAACUUAACAAAAGAGGUGAAAGAUCUAUACAAUGAAAACUAUAGAGUCUUAAAGAAAGAAAUCAAAGAAUACCUUAGAAGAUGGAAAGAUCUACCUUGCUCUUGGAUAGGCAGAAUUAAUAUUAUUAAAAUGACCAUACUACCAAAAGAACUAUCAGAUUUAAUGUAAUUCCAAUCAAAAUCCCAAUGAAAUUCCUCAUAGAAAUAGAAAAAGAGUCAUGAAAUUCAUCUGGAAAAAUAAAGAGACCCAGAAUAGCUAAAGCAAUCCUUAGCAGGAAGAGUAAAGAAGGUGACAUCACUACAUCAGACAAUAGUAAAACUACAGAGCAAUAGUAACAAAAACAGCAGAUAUUCGCACCAAAACAGAUUGGUAGACCCAUGGUACAGUACAGAAUAGAGGACACAGAGUCUAACCCACAAAAUUACAAUUAUUUUAUAUUAGACAGAGGUGCCAAAAAUAUACAUUGGAGGAAAGAUAGCCUCUUCAACAAAUGGUGCUGGGAAAACUGGAAAUCCAUAUGCAACAAAAUGAAAUUAAACCCCUAUCUCUCACCAUGCACAAAACUCAACUCAAAGUGGAUCAAGGACCUAGGAGUUAAACUAGAGACCCUGUGUCUAAUAGAUUUUUAUGUAAUCUUGUAGAUUAAAAAUGUAAACUUAUCCAAGACAGAUAUUACAAAGAAUGGGAUUUCAAAUACAAAGUUAUUCAAUAUAUAUGACAAAAGAUUAAUAUAUUAUUGAGCAAAAAUGGAGCAAGAAUUAUAAUAAUUAGAAAAAUAAACCACUAAAAUCAGAAAAGGAUAUGGAUCACUCACAGAAGAAAAAUAAAUGACCAAUAAACACAUGAAAAAAUGUUCAGCCUUAUUAGCAGUAAAUAUAUGUUAAAACAGUUUAUCUCUAAUUGAAAAAGAUUUUUAUUAGCAACACUCUAUGCUAAUGAGGUUUUUGCUAGUGAGGAUAAACAUCAGUACAAUUUGGUAUUUAUGAAUUAAAAUCCACUGAUCAGCAGUUCCACUUCCAAUAAUGCAUCUUUAGGAAAUCAUUACAGAAGAGGUGGGGUUAUGGCCUCAUAUGUGUGAGGCCCUGGAUUUGAUCCUCAGCACCACAUAAAAAUAAAUAGAUAAAAUAAAUGUAUAUAAAAAAGAAAGAAAUACAGAAGGAAAUUUUUACAAAUAACUAGAAAGAUUUUUCACAUGUUUUUCAGUGCUGGGAAUUGAACCCAGAGCCUUGCACAUGCUACAUUAACCACUGAGCUACAUCCCCAGUCCUCACAGACCUGUUUAUAAUAGUGAACAUUAUAAAUACGAACUGAGAUUUAAGAUGGUGGAGUAGUUGCUCCAUGCCUCAGGAUCUAAGCAGCAGGAGGAGUGAAGGGGUGAAAGAGGGAUUUCAUGAAAUCUCAAUAUUGAACAAUCUGAGUGUCUUACAGACUCAGAAAUUUGGGUACAUUAAACAAAGGAGAAAGAAAACAUUGGAGCCAAGCUAGUUUUAACAGCAGCUGCAGCAAUGCUAGCUCACUGGUUCACCACAUAGGGAGGGAGAACACAGAGAGAAACACAAUGGAUAGAUGUAGUAUGGAAAAACCUGAGUCCAGAAAAGCAGACUGAACUUAGCUGAUACAGACAGAGUCUGCACUGUGCACUGGUGCUUAAAAAGUGCUGUUAUCCAAUUGACAGGGAGAGCUGAGGUGGAAGCCAUCUUGAGGUGGACACACUGCAGUUGAUGCUACAGGAGCUGGAGGAUCAUAGCAAACACUGCCAUGCUAUCCUGGCAAGCACCUGCCAUAUGGCCUAGGGCUUGGCAUGAAGUGUUCCGAGUCCUGAAAGAAAAUAACUGUCAACCAAGAUUGCUAUAUCCAGCAAAGCUAUCCUUCAUUAUUAAAAGACAAAUAAAAACCUUUCAAGAUAAGCAGAAACUAAAAGAUUUCAUGACCACUAAACCAACACUACACACAUCGCUUCUCGGCCUUUUGGCUAAGAUCAAGUGUAAACCAACACUACAGAAGAAAUAAAAAACAAACCCCACAGUUAGCAAAUGAAAAAAAGAAAUCUUAUUUGAAGAGUGAGUAACUAAGCAAAUGAGAAACAGGACAAAAUUAAACAUGAUAAAUAAAUCAAAAUGGCAGAAAUUAAUAAACAUCUCUCUAAAAUAACAUUGAAUGUAAAUGGUGUCAACUCUUCAAUUAAAAGACAUACACUGUUAGAAUGGAUUGAAAAACAAGACCAAAUUUUAUAUUGUUUGCAAGAGACACACUUUAUAGGCAAAGAAAGCCACAGGCUCAGAGUGAAAGAUGGAGAUUGACAUCCCUUAUGAAUGGAGCCUGAAAACAAGCAGGAGUAGCUACUCUCAUAUCUCACAAAGGAGAUUUUAAACCAAAAUUAAUCAGAAGAGACAAAGAAGGUCACUUUAUACUGGUAAAGGGUACAAUACAAUAAGAAUAUAUAACAAUAAUAAAUAUUUAUGCCCAAACAUGGGUAUUACAACUUACAUUAAAAAAAAAAAAAACAACAGUUCUGGAAUUGAAACCUUGGAUAGACCCCAGUACAAUAAUACUGGAUAAUUUCAACAUGUCUCUUACCAUUAGAUAGGUCAUCCAGACAUAAACUCAGUAAGACUCUUUGAACAUGAAAAAUAUAUCAAAUGAAUUAACAGACAUCUAUAGAAUAUUUCAUCCAAUGACACCUGAAUACAUUUCUUCUCUGCAGCUCAUGGAACCAUCUCCAAAAAAGGUCACAUUUUAAGCCACAAAGCAAUCUUAGCAAAUACAAAAUUUGAUAUAAUUCUUUGUGUCUUAUCAGAUCAUGAUAGAAUGAAAUUAGAAAUCAAUGUAACAAAGACCUACAAAAACUAUAUAAACGUGGAGAUUUAACAAUACUCUUUUGAAUGAUGAAUGAGUGAUAGAAGAAAUCAAGGGAGAGAUUAAAAAAUUCUUAGACUCAAAUGAGUAUAGUGGCACAACAUACCAGAACCUCUGGGACACUAUGAAGGUGGUUCUAAGAGGAAGGUUUAUACUCUGAGUGCCUACAUAAGAAAAUCAGAAAGGUCCCCAAAAAACAACCUAAUGAUGCAUCUCAAGGCCCUUGAAAAAGAACAAACCAAUUCCAAAACCAGUAGAAGGAAGGAAAUAAGUAAGAUCAGAGCCAAAAUCAAUGAACUCGAGAAUUAAAAAAAUACAAAGGAUCAAUGAAUCAAAGAGUUGGUUCUUUGAAAAAGACAAACAAGACUGAUAAGCCCUUAGCAAACUAACUAAAAGAAAAAAGAGAAGUCCCAAAUUAAUAGAAUUAGAUUUGAAAAAGGAGAAAUCACCACAGACAUCUCAGAAAUCCAGCAGAUCAUUAGGGGCUAUUUUGAAAACUUAGACUCCAUUAAAUUGGAAAACCUCCAAGAAAUAGAUACAUUUCUAGACAAAUACCGUCUGUUAAAACUGCAUCAAGAGGACAAAGAAAACCUAAACAGAACAAUAACUACUAAUGAGAUUGAAGCAGUAAUAAAAAACCUUUCAACAAAGAAAAGCCCGGGGCCAGAUGGAUUAUCAACUGAAUUCUACUAGACCUUUAAAGGAGUCAUGCCAGUAUUCCUCGUUAUUUCACGGAAUAUAAAGGGACGGAGCACUUCCAAAUUCAUUCUAUAAGGCCAGUAUCUCACUCAUGCCAAAAUCAAAUAAGGACACAUCAAGGAAAGAAAACUACAGACCAGUAUCCCUGAUGAACAUAGAUGCAAAAAUACUUAUUAAAAGCAGGGUCAGGGGCUGGGGUUAUAGUUCAGUGGUUGAGCUCUUGCCUCGAUUGCAUGCAUGAGGUACUAGCUUUGAUCCUUAGCACCACAUAUAAAUAGAUAGAUAGAUAGAUAAAUCAAAGAUAUUGUGUUCAUCUACAACUAAAAAAAUUAUAAAAAAAUUCAGAUGGGGUGGUACAUGCCUGAAACCCUAACAACUCAGGAGGUUGAGCAGAAGAUUGAGGCCAGUCUCAGCAAUUUAGCAAAGUCAUAAACAACUUAUUGAGACCCUGUCUCAAAAAAAAAAAAAAAUUUUAAAGGAGGGGGUUGGGUAGGUGGCUCAGUGGUAAAGUGCCCCUGAGUUCAAUCCCUGGUAACAAACAAAACAAAAAAAGAACUUCAUAAAAUGUUAGUAAAUUAUGUUCAACAAUAUAUUAAGCAGAUUGUACACCACAAUAAGUCGAUUUCAUUCCAGAGAUACAAGGAAUGAAACCUUGAUUCACAAAUCAAUAAAUGUUAAUUCGUCACAUAACUAGAAUUAAGGACAAAGAUCACUCAGUCUUCUUAACAGAUGCAGAGAAGGCCUUUCAGCACCCCAUUCAUGAUGAAAGCAGCAAAGAAACUAGGGAUAGAAGAGAUCUGUGUCAAGAUCAUAAAGGCUGUAAGUGAAAAACAAAAGCCAAUUUCCUCAUAGUAAAUGGGGAAAAUCUGAAAGCAUUUCCUUUACAAUCUGGGGCAAGAGAAGGAUGUCCACUCUCACCACUUCUAUUUAAUAUAGUGCUAGAAAUUCUAACCAGAGCAUUUCUGCAAAAGAAGUGUUAUGGUUUAGUUAUGUGGUGACCCCCAAAAGCUCAUGUAUGAGACCAUGCAAGAAUGUUUAGAGGUAAAAUGAUUGGAUUAUGAGCAUCUUAACCUAAUCAAGUGAACUGAUCCCCUGAUAGGGACUAACUGAAUGAUAACUGUAGGUAAGUAGGGUGUGGCUGGAGGAGGUGGGUCAUUGGGGCAUGAUUUUCUGGUGUCUGUGUUGUCUGUAGUGAGAAAAGUCUCUCUCUCUCUCUCUCUCUCUCUCUCUCUCUCUCUCUCUCUCUCUCUCUCCUUUCUGGUGCCACGUCCCGAGCUGCUUUCCUCUGCCACACUCUUUUGCCAUGAUGUUCUGCCUCACCAAGGGCCCAGAGCAAUGGAACCAGCUACAUACACAGACUAAGACCUCUAAAACCCUGAGAGCCAAAUAAACCUUUCCUCCUCUAUAAUUGUUUUAACCAGGUCUUUUGGUUGCAAUAGUGAAAAGUUGAUAAAAACAAUAAGGAAAUAAAAUGGAUAAAAAAAGGAAAGAAAGAAUUCAAAUUAUCACUGUAAAAAACUGCUAGAGCUCAUGAACAAAUUCAGCAGAGUGAAUAGGAGAUUCAAAAUCAAUAUACAAAACUCAAUAGCUUUCCUAUGUACCAACAAUAAAUCUGCUGAGAAAGAAAUCAGGAAAAUAAUUCCAUUCACAAUAGCCUAAAAAAAUAUCUAGAAAUAAAUCUAACCAAGGAGGUGAAAGGUCUCUACAAUGAAAACUAGGGAAUAGUGAAGAAAGAAAUUGAGGAAGACCUCAGAAGAUGGCAAGAUCUCCCAUAUUCAUGGAUAAGCAGAAUUAACAUUGUUAAAAUGGCCAUACUACCAAAAGCAAUAUACAGAUACAAUGCAAUCCCUCAUCAAAGUAACAAUGGCAUUCUUCACAGAACUAGAGGGGAAAAAAAAGUCUUAAAAUUAAUUUGGAAGAAUAAAAGACCCAGAGUAUCCAAAGCAAUUCCAAGCUUAAAAAAGAAAUGCUGAAAGGCAUCACAAUACCUGACUUUAAAUUAUACUACAGAGAAAAAACUGGAUGGCACUGGCAUAAAAACAGGCAAUAGACCAAUGGUACAUGUUAUGGUUUGGAUGUCAGGUGUUCACCAAAAGCUCAUGUGUGAGAUGAUGCAAGAAGGCUUAGAAGUGAAAUUGUUAGGUUAUGAAAGUCUUAUCCCAAUCAGUGAAUUAAUCCCCUGUUGGGAUUAACUGAGUGCGUAGGGUGUGGGUGGAGGAGGUGGGUCAUUGGGGGCAUGCCUUUGGGGUAUAUAUUUGGUGAGCUGAGCCUAGUCUCUCUCUACUUUCUAUCAUGUGGACGGAAGCCCUCUGCCACACUCUUCUGCCAUAAUGUUACCUCCUGUCCCAAGAAAUGGAGCCAGCUGUGUAUGGACUGAGACCUCUAAAACCAUCAACCCUCAAAUAAACUUUUCCUCCUCCAAAAUUGUUCUAGUCAGGUCUUUUAGUCAUACCAAUGAAAGAGCUGACUUUAAACAGUAUAGCACUGAAGACCAGAGACAAAGCCACACAUUUACACAUGACUGUCUGAUUCUUGACAAAUGUGUCAACAACACAUUCUGGGGGAAAUGACACCUUUUAAACAAAUGGUGCUUAGAAAACUGGUUAUCCAUACAUAUCCCACCCUGCACAGAAAUUGGCUCGAAAUUGAUCAAAGACCUAGGAAUUAGACCAUGAAUUAUACCUAGAAGAAAAUGUAGGAUCAAUACUCCAGCCGACAGGCACAGGCAAUGACUUUCUCAAUAAGAACCCUGAAGCUCAGGAAAUGAUGUCAAGAGUGAAUACAUGAAGUGGUAUUGAAUUAAAAAGCUUCUUGGGCUAGGAUUGUGGAUCAGUGGUAGAGUGCUUGCCUAGCACGUGUGAGGCCCUGGGUUUGAUCCUCAGCACCACAUAAAGUAAAAUAAAGACAUUGUGUUCACCUAAAAAAUAAAUAAAUAUUUUUUAAAAACCUAAAAAAUAAAUAUUUAAAAAAGCUUCUGCACAGCAAAGGAAAGAAUUAGGAAUGUGAAGGGAGACCCCCAGAAUGGCAGAAAAUCUUUGCUAGCUACUCCUUUGACAGAGGGUUACUAUCUAGAAUAAUGAAUUAAAAAUAUCUACACCCAAAAUAUCAAAUAACACAAUUAAUAAAUGGACACAUGAAUUAAACAGACACUCCUCAAAAGAAUAAACACAAAUGGCUGAUAUAUAUAUGAAAAGAUGUUCAACGUCAUUAACCAUUAGGGAUAUGCAAAUCAAAACUACAUUGAGUUUUUAUUUUACAAUAGUUAGAAUGGCAGUUGUCAAGAAUACAGAUAAUAAUAAAUGCUAGAAAGGAUGUGGCGGAAAAAGAACACUUUUACACUGUUACUGGAAUUGUAAAUUAGUCUAACCACUAUGCCAAUCAGUAUGGAGGUUAGACAUGGAACCACUAUAUGACCCAGCUAUAACACUCCUCCAUAUUUAUCCUGAAGAAUUUAAGUCAUCACACUGUAGAGAUAUAUACAUGCUCAUGUUUAUUGUGGCACAUUUUACAAAAGCCAAGUUGUAUAAUCAGCCUACGUGUCCAUCAGUGGUUGAAUGGAUAAAGAAAAUGUGGUAUAUAUACACAAUGAAAUUUAAUUCAGCCACAAAAAAAUGAAAUUUGUCAUUUGCAGGUAAAUGGAUAAAUCUAGAGAUCAUCAUGUUAAGCAAAAUAAGUCAAACUCAGAAGGUCAAGGGGCAUAUGUGUUCUCUCAUAUGCAGAAGCUAGAAAGGAAAAAGGAAAAGAAAGGUGGGUGUAGAUUUCAUGAAAGUCAAAGGGAGAUCAGUAGAGGAAAGGGACCAAAGGGCUGGGAGUAGGGGAGAGAGUGGGGAACAACGUGCUGGGGAGUGAUAUUGGCCAAAUUAUAUUGUGUACAUGUGUGAAUAUGUAACAACAAUCCCCGUGUAUGCACAACUCUAAUGCACCAAUAAAAAUGUGUAAAAAUAAAUUAAUAAGUAGUGACUGGUUAAUAAUUUGUGGCACAACCAUGAGAUGCUAGGUGACCUUUAAAAUUGAUGUUGUGGAAGGCUAUUUAAUCAUAUCAAGAGACUAAUGACCAAUUUUAUCUAUCUAUCUAUUUAUUUAUUUAUUUAUUUGGUACUGGGAUUUGAACCCAGAGGGGCUUUACCAUUUUACCACAUCCCCAGCCCUCUUAUUUUGAGACAGGGUCUCACUAAGUUGCUUAAGGCCUCACUAAAUUGCUGAGGCUGGCCUCCAACUUGUGAUCUUCCUGCCUCAGCCUCCUGAGUUGCUUGGAUUACAGAUGUGCACCACCAUGCUAGGCUCUAAUGACCUAUUUUAAAGGGAAAAAGCAGAUUAUAAUACAGUAUACACUGAUAGACGUCACUUCAAUACAUGUUUGUUUUAAUAGAAUUCUGAAAAUACAUAGUAACCUAACUUAUCUCUGGGUGGUAGGAAUAUAGAUAAUUCAUAACUUUUCUGCCCUAUGUUUUCCAUAAUAAUUUUUUUUUUCAAAUCACAAUCACAAAACAACCAAAUGAAGUGUACAUAUAAAAUGAACAAGGCAUCCCCAUGAGAGGGCAUUUCUAAAUUUAAUAAUAAGGUCUGUAAUUCUUCAAAAUUUGGUUUAGUGUGUUUUCUCCUCUUUUGGAAUAAUGGGGCAUGGCACAAUUUAUUUUUUCAAAAUCAUUUAUGAAACUCUAGCAUCUGGACACAAACGCAUAUCAAAUGCAGAUCCUAAGCUAUUUCUCCCCUUUCCUUCUAAAUUGAAAUUGGCUGUCUCUCUGCCCCCUGGUGGUCGGAGCUGGAGUGGCAUACUGUGCAGGAGGAUCCCUCUGAGUAUGAACCCUGGAACCCUGCAGAGGUCCCGCCUGAUCUGUUGCCAAGAAAGGCACGGGUUCUGGUGGGUGGGCUUUCUUUGGGCUCCCAUCCAGAAUCUGGGUUUCCCAGGACCUUUUGGGUCUGGGGCAAGCCAGGGAUUCCCAGUAGGAGCCACACAGAAUCUGGACAUGGCCUGCCUGAAGAGCAUCAGGAUGUCCUAGGAAUCAAGAAAGAGUACACAGGGGCUGUGGGUUGUGGUUCAGUGGUAGAGCACUUGCCUAGCAAGUGUGAGGCACUGGGUUUGACUCUCAGCACUGUACAUAAAUAAUGAAUAAAAUAAAAGUCCACUGAUGUCUAAUACACACACACACACUUUUUUUUUUCAAAGAAAGAGUGCACAGCAAGAAAAGCAUCAGAAUGGCUGCAAGAGCAUGCCUCUCUGUAGGAUGGCCACCGUGGGCUUCUUAUAGGGACAGCUGUGCAAAAGAGCUGUCCCCUGGAUGCUCAGACAUUCCAGUGCCUUGGUGAGUAGAGCUCUGUGAAACAGUCCAGUGGUGUGAGCCAGAGCCAGCACGUAACGGCAUCAGUAGAUGCCUCCAUAGGGGGCCUGUGGCACCCUCCCUUUGCAGCCUGCUUGUAGAAUAUAGUUGCAGCUAUUUCCUGAGCCCUAGCUCCGGGGCAUGCCUUGGCCAACCUCUUUUCACUAUGGUUUCCACUGUUUUUCAAAAGCACCCAUGGAGGAAGGCAUUAUUCAUUCUGAGUAUGGCCAAGGCACAUGCUUGUCAUGUCAUUCUGCUGGUAAAUUGCAGCUAGGAACCAGCCCAGUCUCCAGGUCCGCUGGCAAGCCAGGAGCCCCAGGGAGAGCGCCCUCUAGUGGCCCAGUGUAUUGCGGAGCAGCAUCUGUAGGCCACUGCAGCCACAUCCCACCAACGUCCUCUGGGGCCUCUGACAUGCACCCGCAAGGCAUGCAGACAGCUGAACAUGGGGGUGAGGAGAGGAGUGAGUCAAGGUUGGGGUCCCAAUUGUUUUUCAUUGGAGGUCAGGGAAAUCUGUGAACAUAUCCUCAUGUCACAAAGAGGGAAGACAUUUUAUUGCCAUUGUGAUUAUUAUCAUAGGACACAAAAGGAGAGAAAUACAGUUGGAACCCCUGGCACCCUAACUACAGGGUAAUUGUUAGCAUUUAUUACUUCACUCCUUCGAUGACUUUUCUGUGUUCCUCUCGUCUUUGGCUGGCUCUCCGCUGGUCAGCCGGCUUCUUUUGAAAGUUUGGCCCAAAUCUUCCCUCAUCCCCCCGGGUGGUUCUGAGCCCCAGUGUCUGUUAUGUGAAGCCGGCUGCUUCCAGGUGGCGGAGCACAUGGGUAAGCGGUCACCCUCUUGGCCUUCCAUUGCUUAGCUCCUGUCACAGGACUGUGUAUCUUGCACUCAGAAGCCAUGCUGUGCAGAGAGGGGUGUGUGACGAUGGGGAGGUAUCAGGGGCCCCAGUUAUGGGGACUCGGGCAGGAUAGUAAAAAGUAAACAUGAAUCCACUCACUCCCCCCGUUCUUACCAAGAUGGAUGGUGUUUAAUGCAAAUGACCCACCAUCUGCUCGGUAUUCUUUGGGGUCAAAGCUUUUCAGAGUGCUGACCCACAAGGUCAGUUCAUCUUCUCAAGGGCAUAUCUUUGUCUGAGCAUCUUCAAAAUCCGUUCCCACAAUAUUCCCCAGGAUUGUUAUGAUAGAAGUUUCUGCACUCUAACAUUUAUUUCUUCAUGACCAAAUUCUUCUCUCCCACACAUCCAAAAUUUCAAAACCCAGAUUGGCCGGUUCAACCAGGCGAGUAUCAACUUACUGCUGCAGUGCAGGAGCUGCUGCCCACCCCUCCCCACUGCCAUCGAAGGUGGCACAGUGGGAACUGCUUCCUCGAGGUGUGGGUUUCAGGGCUCUCUAGUCCUCCAGAUCUCCCAGGGAAUGACUUUCCAGUGGUGUGAUGCCUCUCUUUCCCAACAAAGGCCCUGUAUUUAUUGUGGUGCUAGCAAAUUUAGCUUGGCCUGCACAGCAAUCAGUAGGCUCAUCCACCCUCUGGGUUUGCUUUUCUGGAAUUCAUCCCUUGGAAGCCAAAAUGAGGUUUUUAAAGACAGACCUGAGCAUCGUCCUGUAACCAGGGCUUCUCAGCAAGGAGCUGCAUCAGAAGACAAGACAUUCCAGGAUACAAGUGGAAGCUACAUGCACGUCAACACCCAGACUGGAAGGUCACCCAUGCCCCUUCUGCCCCUUCUGUGGACCAAUAUUUAAUGAAGGAGGAACAACCUCCAUAUCUCUACGGCUGAGAGUCUGCAGCUUCUGCAAUCCACCACCACUCUCCCUUCUUUCUCUCCCCUCCUCUUCCAUCCUCCAUCUCUCUUCUCCUUUUCUAUGUAACCCAUUCCUCUUACUUUAUCACUGAGACAGGGCAGAGCAGUUCCCCUGAACUUGGUGUUCUUUUCUAAGGAGACUUGGGCCUUCCCAGUACCCUCACAGGGAAGAAAAACACCAUAUUAGUUAGAUUUUGGUCGCUGUGUCAAAAUAACUGAGAAAAUCAAUUUUAAGGAGGAAAGAUUUAUUUUGGCUCAUGGUUUUAGAGGUUUCAAUCCAUGGUCACUUGGCCUUGUUGCUUUUGGCCUGUGGUCAGUCAGAACAUCAUGGCAUGCAGCAACUGGUGGUAUGGAAUUGCUCACCUCAUAGCAGCUAGGAAUCAGAGAUCAGAAGAGUCCAGGGGCAAAAUAUAUCCUGGGCAUUUCCCCAGUGACCUUGCUCUCCUGACUACACCCUACCCCCUUAAGUUCCUAUAACCUCCCAAGAGCACCACCAACUGGGGACCAAGCCUUCAACACACGAGCCUUUGGGGGACACUCCAGAUUCAAACUGUAACAGACCUAAAGUUACAAAAUUCUGGGAAUGGCAGGAGGCAGAGAUUGGGGUAGGGUAGGGGAGAUACGUGGGGUAAGGAGGCUUCCAAGCAGCCAGGGGAAGCUUUGCUAGCUGGGGUGGGGAUGAGCAGUCCCAUCCCCAGUAGCCUCCUGUGCCAGGAGGAAUUUACAAAGCACCAGGACUCAGUCAUUGUGGGCCCACUGGGAAGAAGGGUCUUGUAAUUGGCUCUCAGGACAAAUGAUGGCCAGGUACAGUCUGAGGCUGGGGUCUCAGUCAACCUUUUCUCACUCAGUUAUGCUUUACCAGGUCCAAGACCUCUCUAAGAAGUCUACCCUCAGGUCAUGGGCCAAAGCCCUUCCCUGUGACCCUUCCUCACUGCCCUGUGACUGCAAAACCCCAAGCUCUCCAUGGAGAAGACUGAGGUCUCUGGCCUCUUGGUGGCUCAGCCUCAUAUAUAUCAUCAGGGUGAAGGACAACAGGAAAGACUGAGCUUUCUGCCUCCUUCCCAUCCCUGGCUCUUCUGUUGAGGGUGACCAACAUCUCCCAAAUCCCUGAAGCCCCCAGGUCUCCCCCUCUACUACCGCUUAGAUUUUGGUAGCUGCUUCCUUUUCUCACUGCCUCUACCCCCAACAUCUCCUCCCUCUACCCCUUACUCUUUCCUGUUUUUUUUUUUUUUCUCCCUUUUUCUCCCAACAAGACCUCACUGGGCACCUUCCAGGCCCAGGCCUUGGGACUCCAGAAAUACCUGGGGCUCAGCUCCAAGGCAUUUCUGAGGCCUGUGGGUGAGGGUGAGGCAGGGGCAAAGGACAGGCAGCUGAUUAUAAGAGAGAAGGAAAUCAGGAGAUAGUGCUUCCCAUCAAGGGGCUGCUAACACCUCCAGGGGAGGGGGAGUCUCCAACUUCCCAACACAAGCGAUUUCCCCCUGGGGCUACUCUUUCCUGGCUUUGGGGCAUAUCCCCAGCGAAGAAAGAAGUGGGGACCUAUAAAAAUGCAAAACACCCCCACUCCCACAGGCACCAGCUAUGGGUUCCUGGCUUCUCUUGGAGGAGCCUCAGUCCCCACCCACCCCCUCUCUGUUCUGUCUCUUCAAUAAAACUUGUUUGCUUGCCUCCUUGUUUCUUGCCUCUGUAAUCUUCAACACCUGGGGAACAAGGACCUGCUCCUAGACUUUCAAGACCGGUGUCAAGAGGAUGGAUAGAGCCAGCUGGCGAAAUUCUCCACAUGACAGUGAAGCCCCCAUUGGAUACUUGCCAAGUGCUAGGGCUUCAAGGCCCAGAAGACGCCGCAGCCUUCUUUACAAUAGUCCAAAGUGGAGACGACCCAAGCAUCUGUCAACUGAUAAAAGGAUGAACAAACUGUGGUCUAUUCACAUAGUGGAAUAUCAUUCCACUGUCAAGGAAUGAAUGAGUACUGAUCCAUGCUACAUGGAUGCAUGGUAGAACCUUGAAAACAUCACACUAAGUGGAAGAAGUCAGACGUGAAAGAACACAUACAUGUUUGAUGUGAAAAGCCAAAACAGGUGGGUUGGUAGAGACAGAGUCGAUGAAUGCUUUCUGGAGAUGGGACGAGGACUGAGGAUGACAGUCCCAAGGGGUUCAGUGUUUCUUCUGGAGUGGUUUAAAUGUUGUAAAAUUGUGCUGAUGAUCACACAUACCUGUGAAUGCACUAAACCCACUAAAUUGUAUGCCCAAAAAAGGUGAAUGUGGUGUGUGAAUUGUAUCUCAAUAAAGCUAUUUAAAAAUU